rnacentral:lncRNA from 1 species
UGGCUUGAAUUAAGAUGACAAAGGUAGAGAUGGGGAGAGGUGGAUGAACUUGAGAGCUAUUUCAAGGAUAAAAUCUAAACGCAUACCCUAGAGUUCAGGGAUGUGGAUUAGGACACCCUACUGGAUCCCACAGAGAAGGAUGAUUCAAGGGAUAUCUCCCUGGGGAGGGGGGUGUGGUUCUUGUUUGUGGACCUACUGGUUUAUUUACCAGAACAUGGCUCUUCUAUGCUAUCAUUUUUGCAUCUUGGGUCAAAAGACAACAAGGUUGCUGACUGGGUGACCUCUGGUCUGGCAUCCUCUGGCCAGGCGGGUCCUGCUGCACUUGACUGAGAAAGCUGGCCGCUCUGACGGCUGCUACAUUUGGUUGAAAUUUCUUUUUCUUUGUAACCUAGUAAUGCAAUAUACCUGGAGUUCCAUUUAUAUUAUUAAGCUUUUAAUACAUUUCGUAAGUAAUAUCCUACUUAUUGAAAACAUUUACUGUUUAGGAUUUUCAUUAGAUCACUUGGAUAAAUGCAGAAUUCCCUUGAAGUUGACAACAAUGAGGAAACUUACAAAACAAGUGAUUUGUCAAAAGCUCAAAUCUGAAUAAUUAUGUUAGUUUUGGAGGUCUAGGUAAUUAAUACGGUUUGGAAAUAGAGGAUCUUAGUGGGUUAUAAGCACAGUAUAUCUUCAUGAAUCGGGCUUUCUGGGAAGAUGUGCCACACACUCAACAGACCUGAUUUCCUUUCUUCCUGUGACUGCAUUUCCCAGCCUCCCCUGCAGCUAGGUAAGAUCAUGUAAUGGAAUUCUGGCCAAUGGAAUAUGAAUGGAGUUAAUGUGGGUAACCUCCAUGAUGGGCACAGAAACACCUCCCAGGAAAAAGUCUUGAUUUUUCCUCAUGUCUGCUGACUACAUAUCGACUCUUGAAUAGACUUGAGUAUCUGCUGUUGAAGAAGGCAGAGGCUCUGUCAGCCUGGGCCCCUGAGUGACUUCAUGAAGUAUACCAUCUCUCCAACUGGAUUUUAUCUUUCAGUGGUUCAGUUUUUCUCCACUGUUUCCACCAAAAUACCAUCAACAGUAAGGAAGAACAAUGUGGACCACCAGAAGGCUGGGGUGUUUCCUGAAGCUGCCCCUGCUUGGACUUUGGUUGGAAGUCAUGAUUGAGGGUUCAUGCUGGCGCUCCCCCAGUGAACCUAGCUCACCUACCCUCUGCUCAGGCUCUCAUCUCUCUUCCUCUCUUCUAAGGGAGGCUACUGCUGGGCUCAGUGAGGAGCUGGGUUCAAGGAGAGCUGGGGCUCUGAUGGAGUCCUGGGGAGAAGGCCUUCAUAAGUCCUGAGUGAGUGGACCUGCUCUCUCUGGCCCUGAAUGCAUCAAGAGGCAACUGGGUGUGUGGGCUGAGUCUUUCCUGGCCCUGAAGCUGGAAGUGGAGGCUUUGUCCAGGAUCCUCAGCAGAGGACUGAAAGCCUGUGCUUUCAUAAUCCAAGCCACAUUGGCAAGUGUGCUGCCUCCUACCACCUUUGAGACAGUUGCCUUUGGGAGCGCGUCUACCAGGAGCCAACAAAGAAAAGCAACAGCCUCCUGGAGGGGCCUUGCUCCGGGGAGAGAACGGUGAGGCAGCUCAGGCAGAGCUGGUGUAGGAGACACAAGACAGUGUGAAAUUUCAAAAUCAGAGCACGGAAGGAGAUUCAAAUAUGGCACAAAAAGACUUUCUGGAGCUAAAAAUCAUAAUUUCCUAACUAAAUACCGUUCAGUAGAUUAACUGAAAAAGAGGAAGAUCACCAUGGAGAUCUGGUCGGCUCUCCUGGAGGGUCAAAGGGCAGACAGACCCCUUGAUGAAAAGGGUGGUAUAGAGCAAAUGUAGAAAGAGAUGGGAAGCAAGUAGAAAUGGGUAAGGAACGUGGGGUGGAUCCUAAAACCUUGACUUGUGAAUAGAGAAACCUUGACUUGCAGAAAGAGGAAAAAAUAGAACCAGCGGAGGAGAGGUGACCAUGAUACUAACAAUAGAAGAAAACUUCCCUGAACUG